AGUGAACGCUGGCGGUAGGCCUAACACAUGCAAGUCGAACGGCAGCACAGUAAGAGCUUGCUCUUACGGGUGGCGAGUGGCGGACGGGUGAGGAAUACAUCGGAAUCUACUUUUUCGUGGGGGAUAACGUAAGGAAACUUACGCUAAUACCGCAUACGACCUACGGGUGAAAGCAGGGGAUCUUCGGACCUUGCGCGAUUGAAUGAGCCGAUGUCGGAUUAGCUAGUUGGGGGGGUAAAGGCCCACCAAGGCGACGAUCCGUAGCUGGUCUGAGAGGAUGAUCAGCCACACUGGAGCUGAGACACGGUCCAGACGCCUACGGGAGGCAGCAGUGGGGAAUAUUGGACAAUGGGCGCAAGACUGAUCCAGCCAUACCGCGUGGGUGAAGAAGGCCUUCGGGUUGUAAAGCCCUUUUGUUGGGAAAGAAAAGCAGCAGGUUAAUACCCCGCUGUUCUGACGGUACCCAAAGAAUAAGCACCGGCUAACUUCGUG
rnacentral:rRNA from 1 species